UACGUAGGGACCGAGCGUUGUCCGGAAUCAUUGGGCGUAAAGAGCGUGUAGGCGGCCUUUUAAGUCCUGCGUGAAAUCCUGCGGCUCAACCGCAGACGGUCGUGGGAAACUGGAAGGCUAGAGUGCGGGAGAGGAGAGUGGAAUUCCCGGGUAGCGGUGAAAUGCGCAGAUAUCGGGAAGAACACCCGUGGCGAAGGCGGCUCUCUGGAACGCAACUGACGCUGAGACGCGAAAGCGUGGGGAGCAAACAGG
rnacentral:rRNA from 1 species